AGAGUGGGGCACAGGGUGAAAUGACAUGGAAUGUGUACUACCCUGAGAAGGGGCCAUGACCCUGGAUGAGGCAGCUGUCUUCAGGUGAGGCAGUCCCCAAGAGGGUCCAGUGGAGGCUGUGUUCUGGCGGAACUCCCAGCAGCUGCAGAAUGAUUUCUCCUGUGCUAAAUGGGGAUCCAGGUGGCACACCACAGCAUCACCUCUUAAUUACAUCCUCAGUCAUAUGCUGCCUCUUGCGUUCAUACAAAGUGCUGUGAGACAGUAUCUUCCAGGGACAGACCUUCCUUAUUGGGACCUAAACAGAUGCCCUUCGAGGUGGAGUGGAGAAGAGCCAAGGAAGCCCCAGGCCUUUGGCUUGAAUUUCUGGUGUCUUCAUUUCUUCGUGGCACAAAAAUCCCCUGGAACAGAAUAUCUUUUCACAAGGAAUUUUAAUCAAAGUCGGUGGAAUAAGAAAAAAGAACACAGGAAUUAUUCACUACAUAAAAGCAGCCACACCAGCAAAUCAGCCCUGACUGGCACUGUCUCUUUCUACAGCACUGGGCCUGUAGGGACCUGUGGGGAUAGGAUUGAUAACUCAGUUUAGUGCAGGCCCAGCAAUUAGACAGGAUCCUUCACAGGCCAUGAAGUGGUUUUGUGUUUUGUAUGGAGAAUAUACUCUGAGAGUUCCAGCUAUGACAUGACCCUAUACUUAAUCUGGCUGAUGGCCAAGGUCAGACUGUGGUGUGAGCAGAAUAACCCUCUUGAUCUAUGGAAAUCAGCAGUAUCUUCCCAUGAGCAGGCAGACUAGGGGGUCUAUCACUAGGGCCUCCUGAGUGACCAAGGGCCUCCUGGACUACCAAGGGCCCUGAUGAGCUGUCCUGGAGACUGUUGGGCAAUGGCGGUCUAAACUUGGCCAUCAAGAGUGAAAGAAGAGAAACUGUUGUCCUCUGAACAAUAAACAACAAGAUGCUGACUCUGAGCUUUUGCCUUUAGGGAGAAUGCCUUCGCACUUCUAGCCACUUGUCUAAAAGUCCCACGCUCAAGCCUCAAUCAAGUUUUUCCUCCUCCAUGGACCCAAUUCAGCCAAUAAAUAUUUAAUGGGUGC
ensembl:lncRNA novel transcript